rnacentral:rRNA from 1 species
UCCAGACUCCUACGGGAGGCAGCAGUGAGGAAUAUUGGUCAAUGGGCGAGAGCCUGAACCAGCCAAGUCGCGUGAGGGAAGACGGUCCUAUGGAUUGUAAACCUCUUUUGCCGGGGAGCAAAAAGCGGUACGUGUACCGCAUCGAGAGUACCCGGAGAAAAAGCAUCGGCUAACUCCGUGCCAGCAGCCGCGGUAAUACGGAGGAUCCGAGCGUUAUCCGGAUUUAUUGGGUUUAAAGGGAGCGUAGGUGGAUUGUUAAGUCAGUUGUGAAAGUUUGCGGCUCAACCGUAAAAUUGCAGUUGAAACUGGCAGUCUUGAGUACAGUAGAGGUGGGCGGAAUUCGUGGUGUAGCGGUGAAAUGCUUAGAUAUCACGAAGAACUCCGAUUGCGAAGGCAGCUCACUGGACUGCAACUGACACUGAGGCUCGAAAGUGUGGGUAUCAAACAGGAUUAGAUACCCAGUAC